rnacentral:rRNA from 1 species
UACGUAGGUGGCAAGCGUUGUCCGGAUUUAUUGGGCGUAAAGCGCGCGCAGGCGGUCCUUUAAGUCUGAUGUGAAAUCUUGCGGCUCAACCGCAAGCGGUCAUUGGAAACUGGGGGACUUGAGUACAGAAGAGGAAAGCGGAAUUCCACGUGUAGCGGUGAAAUGCGUAGAGAUCGGGAGGAACACCCGUGGCGAAGGCGGCCGCCUGGGCCGACCCUGACGCUGAGGCGCGAAGGCGUGGGGAGCGAACGGG